rnacentral:rRNA from 1 species
CUCUUUCAGACCCCUAAUUGAAAGUACAGCCUGCUCAAUGUUAUUAUAAAUAGCCGCAGAAAUUUUACUGUGCUAAGGUAGCAUAAUCAUUUGCCUUAUAAUUUAAGGAUAGUACGAACGGCUAAACGUAUUCAGAAUUGUAUCAAAUACUUAUACUAAAACUUAAUUAAAAGUUAAAAUGCUUUUAUUACCUAGAAAGACGACAAGACCCUAUCGAACUUCACAGAAGUUGAGCUGGGGUGGCUUUAUAAUACAAACUUGUACUUCUCCCAACAAAAGAACCAAAUCAAUUGAUAUAUGAACAAGUUACCGUAGGGAUAACAGCAUAAUUACUUUCUAAAGUCCUUAUCCAAAAAGUAGAUUAUGACCUCGAUGUUGAAUAAGAAUACCUAGUUUGAGCAAAACCUAACUAAGGAAGUCUGUUCGACUUUUAAACUCUUACA